rnacentral:rRNA from 1 species
UACGGAGGGGGCAAGCGUUGUUCGGAAUUACUGGGCGUAAAGGGCGCGCAGGCGGCUGCUCAAGUCAGGCGUGAAAGGCCUGGGCUCAACCCGGGAAUUGCGCUUGAGACUGGGCUGGCUUGAGUGCGGGAGAGGAUGGUGGAAUUCCCAGUGUAGAGGUGAAAUUCGUAGAUAUUGGGAAGAACACAUAUGGCGAAGGCAGCUCUCUGGGACGGUACUGACGCUGAGACGCGAAAGCGUGGGGAGCGAACAGG